rnacentral:rRNA from 1 species
UAGUAAUCGCGGAUCAGCAUGCCGCGGUGAAUACGUUCCCGGGCCUUGUACACACCGCCCGUCACACCAUGAGAGCCGGGGGGACCCGAAGUCCGUAGCCUAACCGCAAGGAGGGCGCGGCCGAAGGUGGGUUCGAUAAUUGGGGUGAAGUCGUAACAAGGUAAC